CAAAACCUCCAAACGUGACGAGGGUCCAGUUCCUGCUUUUUCCACUCCACAGAAGCCAGUCAAUAAAAACUCCCUCUCAGAACCCAAUGUAGUCAAGAUUUAUGUCAUGGUUUUAGUCUGACUCCUCAGGCCAACCACUGGCCCCUCAGCCUCACCUACCUGGCCAGAGUACGUGGACAGCAGCGCCAAAGAUGCCAACUGGACAUUCAAUGAGGGCCCUCCAGUGUCCUGAGAAAGUGUCGUAGCAGCUCAGCGGUGGUACCGCUGGUGGUACCAGUGGUACCGCUGUACAGCAUCUGUUCUGCAUGCAAAAUGUCCCAGGUUCAAUCCCCAGAUUACUUUGCUGGAGAACUGCAUUGCAAAAUUCAGAGAAGUGCAAAUU